rnacentral:misc_RNA from 1 species
UCUCCGUAGGUGAACCUGCGGAGGGAUCAUUACCGAGUGAGGGCUCACGCCCGACCUCCAACCCUUUGUGAACCAAACUUGUUGCUUCGGGGGCGACCCUGCCGUUUCGACGGCGAGCGCCCCCGAAGGUCUCCCAACACUGCAUCUUUGCGUCGGAGUUUAACACAAAUGAAACAAAACUUUCAACAACGGAGCUCUUGGUUCUGGCAUCGAUGAAGAACGCAGC